rnacentral:lncRNA from 1 species
AAGGUUAACAUUACAGUUCUUAAUUUCCUUUAGGGCAAACAAGAUAAUUAAACUUGGGUUUUGUGAGUCUUUUUUUGAUUUGCAGAUUAUAUAUGGUAACACAAUAAUGGUGGUUUGUUUUUAAGUUUUUUCUCAUCAGGUUUGAUAAUUUAAUGCAAACUUCAAAUCUGGAUGUGAAUAAUAAUAUUUUUAUUAUAGUAUAAUCCAGGUGAGUUUAUAGAAUUUGUGUUUUGUGCUUAUAAACUGUCACCUUCUGAUACUUUUCUUCAUCCCUCUAUUUGAAAAACCCUUGUAGAAUUUAACGAUUUAAUGGAAAAUGUUGCACUUUAUAGAAGGCCAUUUUAGAACUUACAGGUAACCUUUUUGAAGAGCUUAGAUUUGUAGACCACUGUUUAUGCUGAGUGACAUUUCUUUUAAAUGGUUGCAUUUGUCAAAUCUAUAAAGAUGUUUUUUAUAUUGCAGUUUUCUUUUUGUGCUACUUAAAGGAAUCUUUGCAAUGCUGCAUAUAGAUAAUUGUUGACCUUUUUAGUUCAGCAGUUUUUAAACUUGAAGUAACAUCAGCAUUUAUUUGAAUAUCAGGUUUUAGCUAACUGCCUAAUGUACCAAAAAAAAAUUAGCAAUGUCUUAUGUGGGAUGAGGGGUUAAGUUAAAGUUGCUGAUCAAGUAAUGGCCGUGUGGCACAAGAUGAUAACUAAGAAUUUCUGGUUCUAAGGUAGUAAUGCCUUUUGGGAUUUAUAUUUGUUUAAUGUUGAGAUUCUGGGGACCAUAGGUGGGCCUGUCAACUCUUAACAGACUAUAGUAAAGGAGAGAUGGUGGCACAUGUGAGAUAAAACUUGUUUAUAUUUACAUUCUUAUUAGUGGAUAGAUAUCACCUCAGUACAACACUGAAAUUAAACUGCCUUGUUCAUGCUUUCAUGUCUCAAAUCAAGGCCUAAAUGAGUAAAAAGAUGAUUACAGAUUACCUAAAACCCUUAACCAGUUUUGGUUUUUGAUUAUGCAUAUGUGUUGGCUUGCAAUUAGGUUUUUAGUUUCUGUUUAUGUGACUUGUUUGAAAACAUUGGAUUCGUCUUCUCUCCACAGUUUCUACUUGAACCUAGUAGCUUAUUUUAAUUCCCUGUAAGAGGAAAAUAAUAUAGGGAAUCUGUUCAACUAUUCCUUUAAUAAAUCAUGUGACUUGGCCAAUUACAGAAAUUCCUAAGUGUAGUAUUUUGAAAUGUGGCCAGUGUCCCAGAUUUGUAAGGUACAGUGUGCAUACAGUGUGUCUUAGGAUUUUUUUAAGUAAAUUAAGGAUGUUUACCAGAAAUUAUUGAUUUACUGAACCAAGUAUUUAUUUUCAGAAGCCCACUUUUGGGGAAGGUUGCCUAUAUUUUUGAUAGUAAUUAGAUGGAAGAUUAAAUCCUGUUUAACCUGGAUAGAAACAGUUUUAACUAUUGCUGAAGUUAAAAUCACUUUGGGGUGGGGUGGGGUGGCUCAUGCCUGUAAUCCCAGUGCUGUGGGAGGCUGAGGCCAGAGGAUUGCUCGAGGCCAGGAAUUUGAGACCAGCUUGGGCAACAUAGCAAGACCCUGUCUCUACAGAUAAUUGAAAAGUGAGCCAGAUGUGGUGGCGCAUUCCUAUAGUCUCCGUCUCUCAGGAGGCUGAGGCAGGAGAUUGCUUGAGCCCAGGAGUUGGAGGCUGCAGUGAGUUAUGAUCAUACCACUGCACUCUAACCUGGGUGACAGAGUGAGACCCUGUCUCUAAAAAACAAAAAAUUAGAAAACAACAAAAACCACUUCGGUUACUCACUGUCCUCAUGCUUUGAUGUCAGUUGUUCUCCUAAAUUUUAAAAUUUUGUUAUGAAGAUUGGAUGUACACUGAUUUGGCCCUUUAAAUGACAUUAUACCAAGAAGUUGGUAUAAGGGAGUAGGAGAUGAGAAAACUUUUUGAAAAAUCAUUUGGUGCAUGCUAAGGUAGCUUGUAGGACAUGUGGUUUUAAAAAAUUCAUGGAUUUUGAAGAAGGAUAGGGUGGAAGUAAAAUUUAGCUGAUAGCAUAGGGAUCAUUUGUGAUUUAUAUAGAAAAUAAUUAUAUUUUUGAGUGAGAAGCAUCAGACUUAAAUUUUUUUCUUCUAUUUUGGUUAUUACCAAAAGGAACAGAGAAACUCUCAGAAUUCUUUGAAUCAUAGAAUGUUAGUGCUGGAAAGGACUAGGAAGUGACUUGUACAACCCCUUCAUUUUACAAAGGAUCAGAGAGAAUUGGUUAGUAGAGUCCCAAAUCUGCUUUUAGAAGUAAUAUGGUGAUCAUCAGUUUAGAUUCACUGUAGGAAGGGCAGCCCUGUUAAAGUUUGUCAGGAGAAAAAGGGAAGGUAUCACUUUUUGUAUGUUCACCCAGUUGCUUCUGUAGUUUUCAUACCCCUGUUUUCUCAAUUUUCUUAGAACUGUCUUUAAUGGCCCAGCUCUACCAGGGCUUGUUGUCUAAGGACAUUAACUUGUGCUCCCCUCAGGGAUGGGUUUACUACUAGCUGUCAGAAAGCUAUUGGGUAUCCUAAUGUGUUAAUAGCUGAAACUCAGCUGUAAUUUCUCCUAAAUACUUCAGCAUUUUGCAUUCUGUACAUUGUGGUGCUUUUUCCACCUUGUAUUGUUGUAACUGUAAGCUCCUAGGGGGCAGCAAUUUGGUCUUAGGCGUGUACCCUGUUUAGUGCCUGGCAAUGCCAUGUUUAUAUCAAGGUCUUAAUAUUACUUUUGAGUUAUUUCUCCCACUCUUCAUGGAAGUGAUGCUCCAGCCUUGCUAAAACACUGAGGGUCCUCCCGAUAAGCCAGGCAUUGUGAUUCCUUGGCUUCAAGUGCCUUCUGUCUUCCCCGAAGGUCCACUGAGAUCUACAAUCCCCCCUUUCCUCUGAUCUCUUGCCAUGUAAGUAAUUUUUUAAAAGAUCAGUACAAGAGCUAUAUUUUUUCCUAAGAAAAAAUUUCAACAGGAAUGGGGAGUAGCCCCGUUUUGGGGCUGAUCUGUCCAGAAUUUGGAGUGAGGAACAAAUCCAUUCUCAUCUACUUUCCACAUUUUCCCUCUUGUUUGAGGUCCUGUUCCAACCUUCAUUUCUGAAACUGUUCUAGAGCACUUUGUCUUUCUCGUAGUUCAUAACUUACCCCUUCAGUCUAGAAUUAGAAUUACAUUAUCUGUUUUACUACUUUACUAGACUGUAAGCUCCUAGAAGAUAAGGACUAGGGAGUUCAUCUCUGUAUUCCACCAGAAGGUACAGUGACUCAUAACUAGAGUCUUUAGAUGAAACUUACUGAGUUGAAUAACUUAAUAUAUUUCUGUUUUCAUUCCCAAGGGAGGCCAUGUCUGGAGAUAGACCUUGAAUUUAAUAAAUUUUAGGCACUAUACCAUUUCAGUGGAGAAAAUUGUUGGGAAAUUUGGGGGGAUGGAUAUAUAAGGGGGAGGAAGUCACUGGCCAGUUUGAGGUGCUUCCAUUGGUCUGGGUAACUAGCCAUUUCUUCCUGAUUGUGCCUAGUAUAUCCCAGACAGUUUGUUUCUAUGCAGAAGAAUUUUAUAUGAAAUUUUCAUUUCUUUGCAAAAACUUGUUCCUUCUUUCAGUUCAUGACAUCAUCCAUGCUAAAGUCUGAGUCAUCUGCUUCCAUUUUUGUUAUUCCCCACAUCCAGUCUUCAGCUAAGUCCUGUCAGUUCUACCUCAAGUCUUUCCCGUCUUUCUUCCUCACCUAUGUAAUUUCAGUAGUCUCUCAGCUUCACUUAACCUCUUACUCCAGCCUACUUUAUACACAAUGUUAGAUUCAUCUUACUGAAACAUAGUUCUGACCAUGUAUUCCAUGUAUGUGUUCUCUCUCCCCUAUUAGACUGUAAGCUCCUUAUGGGCAGGAUCUGUGUCUGAGUCAUCUUUGUAUCUUGCCUAGCACCUAUCAAUAAAUACUUCUUGAAUGAACA